GACCCGAUGGCGCAGUGGCAAGCGCGUCCAUUUACAAUGUGUCGGAAGGCUCCUGUUCGACUCAGGAUCGGGUCG